rnacentral:lncRNA from 1 species
AGAUAAUUAUACAUAUUUCGAUACAAUUACAUAAAUAAAUAAUGUACGAAAGUAGAUAGAGGCAUUCACAAUUGUUCACCCAGAAAAGUUCAAUUUGUUAUUGAUCUCCUUAAUAAGUUUACAAAGUUCGUUCAGUUCUGUACAUUUUGGGGAAUUCAUUAAGUCAUAAAACUUCAAUGUGUUUGUUCUAUUUCUAUUGUAAAAUGCAAUACAUUGUUUUCUACAAUUAUCGAAAGCUGAAC